rnacentral:rRNA from 1 species
UGCAAGUCGAGCGGAUGAGAGGAGCUUGCUCCUUGAUUUAGCGGCGGACGGGUGAGUAAUGCCUAGGAAUCUGCCUGGUAGUGGGGGAUAACGUUCCGAAAGGAACGCUAAUACCGCAUACGUCCUACGGGAGAAAGCAGGGGACCUUCGGGCCUUGCGCUAUCAGAUGAGCCUAGGUCGGAUUAGCUAGUUGGUGAGGUAAUGGCUCACCAAGGCGACGAUCCGUAACUGGUCUGAGAGGAUGAUCAGUCACACUGGAACUGAGACACGGUCCAGACUCCUACGGGAGGCAGCAGUGGGGAAUAUUGGACAAUGGGCGAAAGCCUGAUCCAGCCAUGCCGCGUGUGUGAAGAAGGUCUUCGGAUUGUAAAGCACUUUAAGUUGGGAGGAAGGGCAUUAACCUAAUACGUUAGUGUUUUGACGUUACCGACAGAAUAAGCACCGGCUAACUUCGUGCCAGCAGCCGCGGUAAUACGAAGGGUGCAAGCGUUAAUCGGAAUUACUGGGCGUAAAGCGCGCGUAGGUGGUUCGUUAAGUUGGAUGUGAAAGCCCCGGGCUCAACCUGGGAACUGCAUCCAAAACUGGCGAGCUAGAGUACGGUAGAGGGUGGUGGAAUUUCCUGUGUAGCGGUGAAAUGCGUAGAUAUAGGAAGGAACACCAGUGGCGAAGGCGACCACCUGGACUGAUACUGACACUGAGGUGCGAAAGCGUGGGGAGCAAACAGGAUUAGAUACCCUGGUAGUCCACGCCGUAA